CGAGGUUGAUAGGCUGGGGGUGGAAGUGCAGCAAUGCAUGGAGCUGACCAGUACUAAUCGGUCGAGGGCUUAUCCAA
rnacentral:rRNA from 1 species